AUAGAUACCCCACUAUGCCUAGCCGUUGACCAUAACUUACACCCAAAUCGCCAGGGAAUUACGAGCGAAAGCUUAAAACCCAAAGGACUUGACGGUACCCCAUAUCCACCUAGAGGAGCCUGUCCUAUAAUCGAUAAUCCACGUUUAACCUCACCACUUUUAGCCUAUCAGUCUGUAUACCUCCGUCGUCAGCUUACCACGUGAGCGACCAUAGUGAGCUUAAUGUCCAUCCGUCAAAACGUCAGGUCAAGGUGCAGCUUACAAAGUGGGAAGAGAUGGGCUACAUUCUCUAAUCUAGAAAAUACGAAAGACUACUUAUGAAACCUGGUCGGAAGGCGGAUUUAGAAGUAAAAAGAGAUAAGAAAACUCUUUUUAACCCGGCACUGGGGUGUGUACACACCGCCCGUCACCCUCCUCAAAGCCGAUAGAGCAGUAUUUAACUCAUUUAAGCAAGAUAGAAGAGGCAAGUCGUAACAUGGUAAGCGCACCGGAAGGUGAGCUUGGAAA
rnacentral:rRNA from 1 species